rnacentral:lncRNA from 1 species
GCCUGUAGGAGUCAACUGCAGCAAGACCUCUGAUUGAAGGUCUCUUUGAACUUUAAAUAGAGAGAAAUCUGAAGAGUGCGGCAGCUGCCCGUCUCCUGGCUGCCAAUUGUCUGCAGAGUGAUGUAAGUCAUGGGAAAGCAGAACUCCUCUGGCUCUUCUUUAUUCUAUUAUUAUGGAGGAAACAAGGGGCUACGUGACCUAAACAAUUAGGAUAACUUCAGUGACACUGAACUCCUUGCUAUUAUAUGAAUUCAGAAGAAGAGAAAAAACUAACUUAAUCAACAUGAAUUUCUCAGACUUCAGAAAAGAAUUCAACCUAGAAUCUCAUUUCCUUGGUUAUAUCAUCAGUAAAUUUUUUAAAAAAUAGAAG